rnacentral:misc_RNA from 1 species
AAGUCGUAACAAGGUCUCCGUAGGUGAACCUGCGGAGGGAUCAUCAUAGGAAAUAUAUAUAUAUAUAUAAUAUGAGUUUACUCACCAAGUUGCUUGGGUGUUUGAGAGGGGGGAGAGGUGUGUGGUGGAAAAAGGGGGAAAAGGAAAGCAUACUCUGCAAUUCUUUUUCUCUGGAUUCCAACCAUUCUCGCUUCUCUUUUCGCUCUUGCAGCUUCACACAAACGAUCACAACUAUUAUUUGAGGGGAAUUUGACUUGGUGCGAGGAGAUUUCGGCUGGUGUGUGUGUGAGUGAUCUCUCACGAUCACGAUCGCCGCGAAAACCAAAAAGUGUUUGCCUGAUAAAUUCUCAAUGCCAUUGAUUUGGUGGUUGGGUUGGAAUCAAACAAAAAUAUAUACAACUUUCAACAACGGAUCUCUUGGCUCUCA